UUUUUGUACUAUUAUUGACUAGUGUGGAAGAAGUCUAGAAUGUGUCAGUUAUGUUACUAAUGUAGCAUUUUUAAUCAAUCAUAUAUUUUUUUUUAAGAUUCUGUGAUAUCCCAAUAGUCCCACGUUGGAUAAUAUGGGAGAGUCUUAUGUGUUUAUAAGUAACGGACACAAUAGUAAUAAUAAUUGGUUUUAAGCAUUUUGGGCUGGUGGUUUGGGCCUAACGAGUUAUUAUUGCUAACAGGUCAGGUCGUUAGAGAUUCACCCAUUCCAUCAUAGUUAUUAGAAAAAUAUUUUUAUUGUGCUUUGCUUUCAAAAUGAGAGAUGUGAUCGGCAGAAGAUGGUGUAAGUGUUACAAUAUAGUUUUUCUAUCAAAGGUGAGGAAAUUAAUAAUUUCAUGUUCAAUUGAUUGGUAUAAAUUGACAUAUAUAAGUAUUAAAUGAGAAUUAGAUGUGUAAUGUUAAAAAAU
rnacentral:lncRNA from 1 species